rnacentral:misc_RNA from 1 species
UGAACUUCCCCUUUGCAUGCAACUUUUAACCAAUGCUAUGGAGGCUUCAAGGCAACAACUUCACUCCCAUAGAGAAAAUAAUCAUAUUGGACAAAUGAGACCAGUUCUUGAAGAAUUCAUUCCACUUAAGAAUAACAAUGCAAGUGUUGAAUUAGGAGAUGAAAAAUUAGUGGCAAAUAACACUUCUACUAUUGUUGAUAAUAAGGCAAAUUGGAUGA